GAUGAAGAACGUAGUGAAAUGCGAUAAGUAGUGUGAAUUGCAGAAUUCAGUGAAUCAUCGAAUCUUUGAACGCACAUUGCGCCCCUUGGUAUUCCAUGGGGCAUGCCUGUUCGAGCGUCAUUUGUACCUUCAAGCUUUGCUUGGUGUUGGGUGUUUGUCCCUCGGGACUCGCCUUAAAGUCAUUGGCAGCCAGUGUUUUGGUUUUGAAGCGCAGCACAAGUCGCGAUUCAAGGCUAUCCGCCCGCUUCCACAAGCCUUUUUCACUUUUGACCUCGGAUCAGGUAGGGAUACCCGCUGAACUUAAGCAUAUCAUAAGCGGAGGA
rnacentral:misc_RNA from 1 species